CUCUUUCUCCACAGCUGCAACGCUCAUGAUUACUUCCCUGGCUGCUGCACUCAGCGAUCACUCCUGGUGGGGCUCAGGGGACCACAGGGCGUACCAGGGAUAGAACCCGGUGGGCCACAUGCAAGGCCGCGUCCUGUGUACCUCCUCGAGCCCGGCCAGAACCCCAGAGGUCACACAGGUGAUGCAGCUGAGUGAGGAGACAAGAGCCGAUUCUGCACUCCAAGGCGCCAGGGAGAGAGCGCCGGCCGGACCAGAGAGCGAGGACUCAGCAAAGAGGCCACGGGCAGCUGACCCAGAGGCCCACGGGUCUGACCACACAGGCCAGAGGGACCAAGCGGGUCUCAAUACGCCUGCUUCGCACCCUCUGCCCUGGCUGGGGGAGAAAAGGCUUUGGCGUGGGGUGGUCACCAUGCUCUGCUCCAGGCCAGGGCCAGGGUACGGGGCAGCAGGGGGCUUUGGAUUCUGCUACACUGCCAAGGAAAGAGAAGCUGGUGCCACCCGCCUGAAGACCAUAAGGAACACACAGCUUUGCCAAGGAGCAAAUUCUGUUCUGCCCCCUGCAGAAAUAUGGGCCCCCAGGGGGCCCUCACACAGGGCCCAGGGGUCAUUCGGGCAUCCUGCACCCCCAAUCCCGCAAAAAAGGGGGUUAGAAUGAGUUAAAAAUAAAUGAGAGGGCUGGGGCUGGAGCGAUAGCACAGCAGGUAGGGUGUUUGCCUUGCACGCGGCCG